rnacentral:rRNA from 1 species
GACGAACGCUGGCGGCGUGCUUAACACAUGCAAGUCGAACGGAAAGGCCCUGCUUUUGUGGGGUGCUCGAGUGGCGAACGGGUGAGUAACACGUGAGUAACCUGCCCUUGACUUUGGGAUAACUUCAGGAAACUGGGGCUAAUACCGGAUAGGAGCUCCUGCUGCAUGGUGGGGGUUGGAAAGUUUCGGCGGUUGGGGAUGGACUCGCGGCUUAUCAGCUUGUUGGUGGGGUAGUGGCUUACCAAGGCUUUGACGGGUAGCCGGCCUGAGAGGGUGACCGGCCACAUUGGGACUGAGAUACGGCCCAGACUCCUACGGGAGGCAGCAGUGGGGAAUAUUGCACAAUGGGCGGAAGCCUGAUGCAGCAACGCCGCGUGCGGGAUGACGGCCUUCGGGUUGUAAACAGCUUUCGCCUGUGACGAAGCGUGAGUGACGGUAAUGGGGAAAGAAGCACCGGCUAACUACGU